CCACGAACCGUGAGAUCAUGACCUGAGCCGAAGCCAGAGGCUUAACCGACUGAGCCGCCCAGGCGCCCCCAGAGUGGGAGUUUUAAGUGAGCUCGUGAAAAUGACCUAACGUCACCUCCUCGGCUAUGUUUGGUUAGCCCCCUGUGUCCGCUGAGUGGUAAGUAGCUCCAGGCCCUAUGAAAGGUCGGGCAGAGUGUGGCUGCCCAGCUCAGGAAGACUGCGUGGGAUCGGAUGAAUCCUGGAGUCCUGCAAUCCUAACCUCUGUAUUUCUCUGCCCCUCGAUACUGAUAGUUCAGAACGUAUUCGAGCUUCCGCUCGGCAAACCUGUGCUCCGUGCUUCCCCGUUCAGGUGCUGAGCACAGCGUCAUGUCCAAGAGGGCUCCUGCGACGUGCGUCCCGGGAGGAAGAGCCGGCUGGGAAACACAUCAACGCGCCGGGUCAGCAACACGCAGACGGAGAGAAAAUCGAGGAAGAGCGUGAAGUAGGACCAGAUGAGAACCGCAGGCCUGAGGACCAGCGCAGGCCUCUCUGAGCAGUGCUGGCUCGUCGCACUGGCCUUAAUCAGUCUUCGGGUGAUGAUUCCUGGGGAGAAUCGUGGACAUUGGCCCUGCUUCCAUCAAGCCCAAUCCCAUCAGGGAGCCGGGCAGCAAGCAAGUAAAUACACGGAUCUAACAUGACGUGUGUGCGGAGAGAUACACAAGAAAGAAAAUGGACGGAACGUCUGGGUGGCUCAG